GAACGGCAGCGCGGGAGCAAUCCUGGCGGCGAGUGGCGAACGGGUGAGUAAUACAUCGGAACGUGCCCAAUCGUGGGGGAUAACGCAGCGAAAGCUGUGCUAAUACCGCAUACGAUCUACGGAUGAAAGCAGGGGAUCGCAAGACCUUGCGCGAAUGGAGCGGCCGAUGGCAGAUUAGGUAGUUGGUGAGGUAAAGGCUCACCAAGCCUUCGAUCUGUAGCUGGUCUGUGAGGACGACCAGCCACACUGGGACUGAGACACGGCCCAGACUCCUACGGGAGGCAGCAGUGGGGAACUUUGGACAAUGGGCGAAAGCCUGAUCCAGCCGUGCCGCGUGCAGGAUGAAGGCCUUCGGGUUGUAAACUGCUUUUGUACGGAACGAAACGGCCUUUUCUAAUAAAGAGGGCUAAUGACGGUACCGUAAGAAUAAGCACCGGCUAACUACGUGCCAGCAGCCGCGGUAAUACGUAGGGUGCAAGCGUUAAUCGGAAUUACUGGGCGUAAAGCGUGCGCAGGCGGUUAUGUAAGACAGUUGUGAAAUCCCCGGGCUCAACCUGGGAACUGCAUCUGUGACUGCAUAGCUAGAGUACGGUAGAGGGGGAUGGAAUUCCGCGUGUAGCAGUGAAAUGCGUAGAUAUGCGGAGGAACACCGAUGGCGAAGGCA
rnacentral:rRNA from 1 species